ACAGGAUGAGUCAAGAAAACAAAUGAGCAUCUCAAGUCUUUAUUAUAAAGAUUCAAGAUGCUCAUUUGUUUCCUUGCCUUCCAAA
rnacentral:pre_miRNA from 1 species